GGGCGCUUGGUCUAGGGGGUAAGCAAUACCAUCAUCAUAACAUCUCGACAUAUACUAAUUCUUCAUAGUAUGAUUUUCGCUUCGCAUCAAUUGCAAAUUGUGAAAGGUCGUGGGUUCAAUUCCCACAGCGUCCA
rnacentral:tRNA from 1 species